UACGAAGGGGGCGAGCGUUGUUCGGAGUUACUGGGCGUAAAGGGCGCGUAGGCGGCGAUCCAAGUUAGGCGUGAAAGCCCCGGGCUUAACCUGGGAAUUGCGCUUAAGACUGGACUGCUUGAGUGUUGCAGGGGAGACUGGAAUUCCUGGUGUAGCGGUGAAAUGCGCAGAUAUCAGGAGGAACACCGGUGGCGAAGGCGGGUCUCUGGGCAACAACUGACGCUGAGGAGCGAAAGCGUGGGGAGCGAACAGG
rnacentral:rRNA from 1 species